rnacentral:rRNA from 1 species
UACGGGGGGGGGCAAGCGUUGUUCGGAAUUACUGGGCGUAAAGGGCUCGUAGGCGGCCAACUAAGUCAGACGUGAAAUCCCUCAGCUUAAACUGGGGAACUGCGUCUGAUACUGGAUGGCUUGGAUUUGGGAGAGGGAUGCGGGAAUUCCAGGUGUAGCGGUGAAAUGCGUAGAUAUCAGGAGGAACACCUGCGGUGUAGACGGCUUACUGGACCAUAACUGACGCUGAGGCACGAAAGCGUGGGUAGCAAACAGG